rnacentral:tRNA from 1 species
GGAUAUAGCUCAGUUGGUAGAGUGCUUGCCUUGCAAGCAUCAAGGCCCUGGGUUCAAUCCCCAGAGCGUGUUCG